UACGGUCACAUCACUUUAAAACACUGUUUCCCAUAUGAUCACUGAAGUUAAGCAGUGUUGAUCCUGAUCAGUACCUCAAUGGUGACUGCUUGGGAAUAUCAGGUGCUGUAA